GAGAGUAUAAUUUAUAUUUUAUUAUUUUUAAUCCCAUAAAUUAUGUGACACACCCCGUCCCGAAGGAGGGCAUGCUGGCCGUCACGUGAGAGUGACGUAACCAUUUGCACAGUACGGAAGCUUUAAUUAUACAAUUUAUAAGUUGAUACACCCGAAGGUGAGUCCUAAUUUUGUCCAAUCUGUCAGAACACCGUCGAAUUCCUCGUAGUCACCACACCUUUGUGAUUCCUGAACCUGGAGGGGCGCAAAACCAAAAUUGAGUGGGUCAGUAAAACAAUUCUUUUCCAAAUCCAAACAUUUCUCAAAACGUUGUAACCCCUCUCCGUAAAACCUGUAUACUUUCCCAGAAAUGUAAAAUAUAAAUAUACAUAUAUAUUCUCAAAACUUCAUUUUUACUAUCUCAACAUUAUCUCUUUAUCAAUCAUGCCAUGCCAUGUCUAAUUCAACAGUUAAGUAUGGAUGCAUCAACAAUAAUCAUAUCAGGUGCAAGAAAGUAAUCAACCGUAGGCCCUCUAAUAGCCCUGUACGGUUGAACCUAGAGCUCAAAAUCUCAUCUAACCGGAGUCACCAACUGUGACCUGUUCGGCCAUGCCGGAGUCACCUAGUAUGACCUGUACGGCACUACACUGCACAUAAGUCGGAAUUACCUAAUAUAAUCUGUACGACUUAAUGGUAGAAUAAUAUGCUCUAGUGCUUCUCUCAUCAAUCAUCUGUGCACAUAAUCUAAGGUCACCUACCAGUCGGAACCCCUCUAAUGGUCUGUACGACUGGCAUGUCGGAACCACCCCCUGUGGUCUGUACGACUAGCAUCUACUUGGAUCCAAGGUGAGCAUGCGAUGCGGUGAAUAAUAAUAAGCACUAAUACCAAGGUGCAGGUUAUGAGCUCAAUAUAUCUCAACAUCAUCAUAACAAUAAUAAAUACUCACCUGAUACUCACCUGUGCGUCCACCGCACCAAUUCAUACAAAUGCAUCAUAUAUCAAUUCAUACUUUUAUAUACUUAUAUACAUGGCAUCUCAAAUCAUAUCUUUCAUAUAAAUCUACUCAUGGCAUUUGAAAACAUACUUUUAUACUUUGCAUUUAAAGCAUACUUUCGUAACAUUUUCAAUUUCUGGGAAACGUCAAUUAUAUAUGUAUACGGAAAACAAAACUGCCCACUCACCUGGAGUUCGUCCAACAACUCCUUAGCACCACACAUCAAGGCGUCAUGACGAUCGCCGCCUAGAACAGUAAUCAAAUCCAACCUCAGAAUUCAUAUCGAUAGAAUAUAUAACUUAUAUAAAAUACGUCACUAUGUAGAUCGAUCCGGAAGAUCUGCCACUCAGAUUUUAAAUCCAUAACUUCCAGAGGUCCACAAUAUAUCUCUAGGACAACAUCCUAAAAUUUCAUUACCAUCCAACGGUCGGAUCUCCGUCAAUUUCCAAAACUAAGUGAUGGUUAACAUUUUAUAUUAUGGACUUACAACUCCAAUUCCGGAAGAUCCGUAAAUCGGAUUCCCAAUCCGUAAGUUCCAAUAAUCCUCAAAUAUUACGUAUUACUACGUAUCAAAAUUUAGUGACGAUCUAACGGUCGGAUCGUCAAUUCACAUUUUCACCUAAAUGUGAAAACUAUAAAACGUUAUUCGAACACCUAACCAACAAUCUUUAAUAACUUUCUCAUACGGUACUCAAUUUGGGUAUAUGAAUAUACCACGGUGAUCUACUCGACGUCACGGACGUCGACAUAUUUUUAAAAUAAUUUGUUACUGUAGAACGCGCCCCCACGCGCCAAGGAAGGCACGGACCUACGCGCCCCCACGCGCACCUUCUUCUUCCUUGGGUCGCCGGACUGGUUUUUCCGGCGGCCGUCUUUCAAAUUGCCAUAACUUUGUCAUUUCUCAACGAAAUCAAGUGAUUCAAAAACGAAAGUUGUAGCCCUUGAAGAUACAAAGAGAAUGGUACCUUGCACAAUACCUAGUUCGCCGUGGUUUGGCCGGAAACUGCCUCGAAAGCCUCGGAGGUCGCCGGAAACUGGGUAUUUUUCAAAUGAGUAUAACUUCUUCAAUACUCAACGAAAUUGAGUGAAACAAAAAGGAAAGUUGUAUUAAUUGACGAGACGAAGAUAUUGAUACCUACCUCGACUCCUAAAUCGCCGGGGAUUCUCCGGAAAACGCCUCGAAAGCUCCGGCCAAACUUUGAACUUGUCGAUCUCCGUGUUCUUACGUCCAAAAACUUCCAACGAAGCACUCCGAGCUUCCUUGGGACAUCCUAAAGCUCACUGUGAUCUUGUUUUAAGCUAAAACACCACCAUUUAAGAGUUUAUGAACAGUGCCAUUUCACGGGUACCUUGAAAACUAGGGUUUUCCGAAGUAGAACUUACCUGAAAUUGAUGUCUACGUGAUCGUGGAAGUUCCAGGAGUCCAAAUGUGGUCUUAUCUUGGGACGUUUGUUUAUGUUUUAGGUGGUUUUGGGUGAGGUUGAGCGUCGGAGAGGAAGAGAGAGAGAACUGAGAGUGAGAGAGAGUCGUGAGGGAAGAGAGAUAGAGAGAGAGUGUGGGUUACGGGUUUUAGGGAAAUAAUUGGGGAAUAUGGGAUCCACGUGGUCUUUUUAAAUCUAUAAUACAACCUUUUAACAUACAAACUUAAACCUAAGUCCAAAUUUAAGUUUGUAACCCUAUAUAAUAUCCCAGUUAACAAUAGUAUAGGGAAAUUAUGUAAAAACCAAUGCCAAAGUGACGCACCUUAAUCCCGUUUAAGGGCAAUUUCGUCUUUUCACAAUCCCGAGUAUUAUAAAUUGGGACGGGCUGUGACAUUAUGGGUUUUAUUUAAAAUCUCAUUAAUAUAAACAAUUACAAAUUUCAAUUUUUAUUUUUUAAUUAAAAAAAUAUAGUAACUUACAUUAUUACAUUAAUGUCAGGGACCUCAAUCAAAAACUAAAAACUAACAAGAUUUCAAUCAAAGAAUAUUGAUAGUUAGGGACCGCAUCCAAAGUGUCCCCUUUUUUUUUGUAUUUAAAAAAUAUAUAUAUGUACAAAAUUUAGGACCACUUCUAUAUUUUAUCAUAAUCAAACGAAAUAAGCGUAGCUAGUUAAUUGCUUCACUUGAUCGAUCCCUCCAUCCGAGGAAAACGUCUUUGAUCGAUAUAAAUUAGGGAACUUUAACGAAAAGCACCCGGUACUGUUCACAUUAACGAAAAAUCACAUUUUUACACUAAAAAGUCAAUCCUGGUACUAUUCACUUUACCCUUUAUUUUGUCCUUAUCAUUAAAACUCAAAGUUUUCAAACCCUUUUCAUUAGUUUUCCUUAUAAAUUAGUGCAUGCGUAUGAAACCCAAUUUGUCAGCUGCUUGGACACUUGGAAAGCGGUCCCUAAUCAACUCAAACUUUAGACUAAAACCCAGUUUGUUUUAAUUUUUUUAGAGUGAUGUUAUUCCCACCCAAUGUCCAUUUGCAAAAAGGCUGAUAAGGACAUUAAUUAUCUUGUAUUGCUUAAUUUAAAAAAGAAAAAGAAAAAGGUUGGGCGUGGGAGACGAUUUGUCUACCUUAAACCUUAACCCAUAUUUUCAUCUCCUUUCAUUUAGAGAAAGUAAAAAAAUACCAAUGAACUUAGAAGAUGACUUUUUCAUUGAACAGGUGGAAUAUGACUGUAGACAUCGAAAUUUCGGUAAAUAAAUGUUGACCGAUAAAUCAAAGUGUCAACGCUCAUGUAUUACAUAAAUUUUACACGUAGCAUGUGACUCAACAAAAAUUGAAAAUGAGUUGGAAAAGUCAUCAAAUAGGACACGUGUCAACACCUGGCAGAAACGACUUAUUUCAUCUGGGAUAUUAUAUUCAAAAUUAGGCAUUGGAAAAUUCUAUAAAUACAAGCCCAUUUCAUUCAUUUAGGAGGGGAAUUCAUAUUACACCUUGAAGCUCUGAAGCUCUGAAACUCCGAAGCUCUCAAGCAUCCAGGUUCCCGAAGAAUCAAGAAAGCCUUCUUCGUUUUUCGUUCA
rnacentral:lncRNA from 1 species